rnacentral:misc_RNA from 1 species
GAAAAGACAUCUAAGUGCAAGCUGAUAGAAGGCGCACGCCGAUUGAAUAGCCAUUUUUUUGAUUGUGUAUUACUGUUGGCCCACUGGUCUUGAUAGCGUCAUCGGGUGAAGUGGCCGAGUACUGAGACCCAACCGUGAAAAAAAAGGGGUGCCCUUUGGGAGGGCUCGGGAUGGCUGUUCAUUCUACUCCUAGCAAGAUUGCACCUCGGCGCCGGAAAGUCGUGGACGUGGUCGCUGGCGUUGCGGCCUUAAGUGGAACGUAGCCAUAGUUGCAGCCAAAGAGU